UUCCUAAAUUUAUACUUUCUUUGUUUUCCUUUACAGAUAGUUCGUGCAAUUUUUUCUUUGAACGAUUUAAAGGAAUUGAGUUUUACUUUUUAUUUGGGUUUGCUUAUAAUUUUCACGGAAUUGGUUGAUUCUUGACAUAAUUUGUACAAAUUUCAAGCCCUAAAACCCUUCUCCUCCUUUGUUACACAGUUUUCAAUUUGACUAAAUGAAUUUGUGAAAGGGGUAAAUACCAAGAAAGAGGAACAAAGAACUUCUGGGAAAAUUGGUUUGUCGAUGAGAUGUCUUGUAAUCUCUGUUGGUUUAAUUGCUAUGGGAACUUUUGUUGUGAUUCAGAGGUUUAUUGGUUAAAUGGGAACUUUAGAGAUCUUUGAGAAUUAUCAUCUAGGUGUGACUUAAUUCCUAUACAAUUUUGUGCAUCUUUCCCUUAGGUCGGGAAUUUUUAGACAUCUAUUCCUACCUAUUAAAAGAAAGUAGAACAGAGAAACAUGUAUCACAUUGGGUUGUUGAUUUCAAACACAAAAAAGAAGUCUAAUACUUCCAAUUUGAGUGAGACUGAUCUUAUGUUUCUACAAUGAUAUGGUUGGGUUAGCCUAAGGCUCUGAUUGUUUUUUAUUUAUUUAUUAAGAAGUUGAGUUGAAUGAGAACUUUCCAGUGGCUUUGCUCCAUUGCCUUCAGCCCAUAUAUCUUGCAUGACUUCGAAAUAUGAAAUUGCCCCUUUCUACUGCAAGAAAAUGAAAAACAAAUAAUCUACUGAAGUGUAAAAAAAAGUUACUUUGACAUGUUGGAUGCCCUUUCAACUAAUUUUUUUGCUCUCAUACAUAAAUGGAGUUAAGAUAUUAAAAGUAACAAGUAAAAAAUAAAACACGUAUUAAAACCAUCUUCUUUUUCAUCUUUAUUUUCCAACGUCACGAUGAAGAUCAUUAUUUUUUUUUUAAAAAAGGUUGAGACUACUUUAUGUUCUAAAAGUUUACAGCAACAAUACAUUUUUUUUUUCUAUUUUUGGGUAAUGGUUACAAUUUAUUGUUUGAGUAGGUGCAGGUUUAGAAAGACUACAUAAAGGUUCUUCAUAAUCUUUUAGGUGCAAGUUUAGAAAGAAUUUUCCUAAAUUAAAUUGCACAAGUUAUUUUAGUCAUGAUAUCGUAUUGAAAGAGUACAACUCUUUAUCAAUGUAUUGUUAUAUACCCUUUCAUUUAAAAAUAUUUCAAGUUCUUAUGAAUUUAGUUGCUCCACCAUUGUUCUCAUGAAUUGGCCCAGUUUUAGAGAAAAUGGAAGAAAGCAAAUCAAUGUCCUCUCCCUCAACCAAAAUACCAUCUUGGGAUGGGUAUGAUAGGCUCACAAAAAUUUGAAAGGACUUGCAUCAGUCAGAUACAUGUGUUUUCAGGCUGAAGAACUUAGUUGUUAUUUUUAUGUCAUUUUUCUUUUCAACUUGAAUUUAUACACAAUACGUCAUAAAAUACUCUUCAAUACCAAAUGUUCCAUAGAAAUUUCAACUCUUGAGCUUGUACUUGGAAUGUCGGCUGGAAAAGUAACUGAUGGAAAAUACCCUUAUCAAAAUCUACUUUCUUAACACUCCAAAGAGGGAGGCAGCUCCGAAUUUGGUUGUUUUUUAGAAAGAAGUGCACUGGUCUACAAAAAAUGGUAGAUUCAUUAUCAAAACUGUUGAGCAUAACUACGUUAGUAAAUAUUUGUUUUUCUACAUUCUGACAUUAUAUAGAAUAGAUUGGUGAAUGGUUAAUACUGAAAUACUUUAUAUAAUAUAGAAUGGAUGGUUGAAAGGUUGACUGAGAUGAAACCAAAAGCUAACAUGGAUGAUGCAGCGAAUGCUGUGUUCAAGGAGGUGAUAGGAUAUCGAUCCAGCUAUGCGAGAGAUUUAGGCCACUUAGUAAUACCAGAAUCAUCUCCAUCAUUGUUAAAGAAUAGGGAGUAACAUAUUAGCGAGGAGAAUGAGAAGAACAAGAAUGAAGUGGAGUGCUUAAAGAGUGAACUUGAUGCUUUCAAGAGAGACAUGGAUGCUAUGAGGUCCCAUUUUUUAGAUGUUGAGAAAUAGUUAUUUUCCCAUAUGACAGAAUUGGAGCCCCAGAGUCAGUCUCGUAGUAAGACUGAUCUGGGAGAUGCAUAGGCAUCGCUAUAUAUGGAGGUACUAGUCUUUUGAAUUUUUUAGACUACUUUUUUAUAAGUAAAAAGUAAAAUCCUUCCAACAAGUUAUAUGUGCCCUUUUGUUGAUCUAAAUAUUGUUAAUUUGGUGAUGUGGGGACUUGGUUUGUCAAAGAAAAUAACUAUCAAAGUUUACUAGUUAAGGCUAGCAUGGUGUUUAUACAGUUGUAUAGAUGGAGGCAAAACUUUUGAUAACUUAAGACGCAGGUGGGAGAAAGACAAGCUGCUUUAUGUACAG